AUGUAUUUUAGGUGCAGUACAGGAUAAGACUUGAUCAAUAUGCCGCAUUCAUUCUUGCCAGUAUGUUGUAUUAAGAUAUUGAUAAGUGACAUGGAGAGAAAAAAAAAACAUGCAUAAAUUUAGACAGCAUCACUUCCCUGCAGUAACAUUGUCUGUGCCAUUGCCUGACCACGCAUAUACAUUGAUCUGUAUUUUGUGCUAUUUGUAUUGAUCAGUAUAAUUGAACUUGAUAUUAUAUUAAACCAUCGUAGGAUGCUACAAGGCAGGGAGCACAAUAAUUAAAACUUGUCAUGUUGAAUUGCAAUUUCCACGGUACUAAUAACAAAACUGUUAAAAUCUAUAUGUGAGAUUGGAUGUUAUUUCUUCUAUCUUAAAAAAAAAAAGUGUCAGCGUCUCUCAUGUGGGGAAAGUCCUCUAAACAGCAGACUGCUCGUAAAAAAUAAGCACAAAAGAAACAAAUCACAGUGCAGAAAAUUAAAACAAUGUGUCAGAAAAGAAAUAAUAAAUAUGAGAACACUCAAAUACAUAUCGCCAACAACAUGCUCUCAUCACUCACAUCUGUGGGUCAUUUUGGUUACCCCUGUGGCAAUAUAUGGACCAUACUUUAUAU